AGCCAACGACGAGGAGAGCAGCAUGGUGUCCAACGAGCCUGAUGUUGAAUACACUGAGGUGGUGCAUCCCCGUCCACUGGAUCCUGCCAGAGUCCCACCAAAAAAAGGCACGGACACAGUGUACAGCGAGCUCCAAAACUCUCCACAUGGGGCCACUGACCAUCAUGACUAUGUAAGUAGAAAGUUGAACCAUUACAUUAUUUUUUAUCAU